CAUGUACAAGGAGUACCGUGAUACCACCCUCAAUGGUGCUGUGGAGCAGAUGUACAAUGAGAUGGCUUCCCGUCACCGUGUAAGGUCACCCUGCAUCCAGAUCAUCAAGACAGCAACAGUUGACUUCAAGCUCUGCAAGAGGGACAACACCAAACAGUUCCACAAUUCAAAGAUCAAGUUUCCUUUGGUUUACCGCAAAGUCAGGCCACCAACCAGGAAGCUGAAGACCACCUUCAAGGCUUCAAGGCCCAACUUGUUCAUGUGAUCCAACUCAUCCUGGCACCAUCCGAAAACUGUGAGCCUGGCAGUCUGGAGGGUUUCUAGUUCAGGUUAAU
rnacentral:lncRNA from 1 species